CCCUUAGAUGUUCUGGGCUGCACGCGCGCUACACUGACGCACGCAACAGGUGCCUGCUCCGAGAGGACUGGGUAAUCAUUUGAGUGUGCGUCGUGAUGGGGAUAGAGUAUUGUAAUUAUUACUCUUCAACGAGGAAUUCCUAGUAAGCGCCAGUCAGCAGCUUGCGCUGAUUACGUCCCUGCCCUUUGUACACACCGCCCGUCGCUCCUACCGAUGGGUGAUCCGGUGAAUGAUUCGGACUUCAGCGGCUCCCCUGGGGUGCGCCGGAGAAAGUUUUGUGAACCUUAUCACUUGGAGGAAGGAGAAGUCGUAACA
rnacentral:rRNA from 1 species